UACGUAGGGUGCGAGCGUUAAUCGGAAUUACUGGGCGUAAAGCGUGCGCAGGCGGUUGUGCAAGACAGGUGUGAAAUCCCCGGGCUUAACCUGGGAACUGCGCUUGUGACUGCACGACUAGAGUACGGUAGAGGGGGGUGGAAUUCCUGGUGUAGCAGUGAAAUGCGUAGAUAUGUGGAGGAAUACCGAUGGCGAAGGCAGCCCCCUGGGCUAAGAUUGACGCUCAUGCACGAAAGCGUGGGGAGCAAACAGG
rnacentral:rRNA from 1 species